CCUACGGGGGGCAGCAGUGAGGAAUAUUGGUCAAUGGACGAGAGUCUGAACCAGCCAAGUAGCGUGAAGGAUGACUGCCCUAUGUGUUGUAAACUUCUUUUAUAUGGGAAUAAAAUGUUCCACGUGUGGGAUUUUGUAUGUACCAUAUGAAUAAGGAUCGGCUAACUCCGUGCCAGCAGCCGCGGUAAUACGGAGGAUCCGAGCGUUAUCCGGAUUUAUUGGGUUUAAAGGGAGCGUAGGUGGAUUGUUAAGUCAGUUGUGAAAGUUUGCGGCUCAACCGUAAAAUUGCAGUUGAAACUGGCAGUCUUGAGUACAGUAGAGGUGUGCGGAAUUCGUGGUGUAGCGGUGAAAUGCUUAGAUAUCACGAAGAACUCCGAUUGCGAAGGCAGUUCACUGGACUGCAACUGACACUGAGGCUCGAAAGUGUGGGUAUCAAACAGGAUUAGAUACCCCUGUAGUC
rnacentral:rRNA from 1 species